rnacentral:snoRNA from 1 species
GCGAGCUAGUGAUGAGUAAAAGUUAUCCCUGUCUGAACAAAAUCCUUUGUGGAAUUUUGAUUUCCUGAGGCUCAG